CUUCCUCUCGGGUCCCAACCCUGGGCUAGGGUUCCAUACGCCGCCGCCUUCGGGCGGACCACAUACGCUGACGUUGAGGUCCGAGAGGAGCGGGCCGCCGCACCGUCUUCCGCCUUGUCGGCUACAUCUCCCCGUCCCGAUCCUUCUCUCCAUGCGCGGCCACUCCUAUGACACGCAUCCCGAUAGUCUCCGCCAGCACUGCGACGGGCGUGGCCUCCACACGCAGCGUCAACCCCCUCCAGAUCCGGCCGUCGUCGAGGGCGUAUCCAUCCAGCAGUGCGCCGUCACCUCCCCUCCAGAUCCGGCCGUCGUCAAGGGCGUAUCCAUCCAGCAGCGCGCCGUCAUCUCAAUCAUCACCGUCUGCGGCGUCAUCACCCAGGCCCAGUCGUGGGCCCGCAAGACCUCCAUGAUCUCCCUUUUCGUCUGCCAGGUCAUUGAGACCAACAUCCACGAGUGAUUGACGGCCAGAGGACUAACUGCAACCUCGUCUGCCUCAGGGUCCAGAGGUCCAAAGCGCCACAACAAACUGCCUCUGCAUCCAUAUGCUGGCAAUUUACUUACUUUGAUUGUUAGUCGUUGACCAUGAGCAAGAAUCUGUCAAUUAAUUUGAUGCUUCAAUUAAAUUGUAAUUUGCUGAAUUACUACUGGUUAAGCACUGUGCAGGUCUUUGUUUGAUUGUUAGUCGGUGACCAUUAGCAAGAAGUUGUAGGAGGUUAAAAUCAUCUGCCAACUCUCUUUAAAAAAACUGCCAACUUAAUUAAUCAAUCAUGUGGAAUCUAGAUUUAGUUCCUGUUUAGUUUGACAUUUUUAGUAGAAGGGUUAGUGUCAAUCUAGAUUUGCUAUGAGUAAUUUGAAAAAUACUGGUGUUACAUAUUUGCUAGGACUAUCUGUGUACACGUCUAAUGCCCUUUCUGAUGUUUCUCAUUAUCGAGAUUACGCUUUUUAAAAAUGUGUUUGUUUUGUUUAGUGUCAAUCUAUAACAAAAUCUGUUUUGAUUCCACUCCGGAAAAUCUUCAAAGUGAUGCUAAUUCUCCAUGAUUAUUAACUUGACGUCUGAAAUCUUAAUUUCCACUGUCCUAUUUUGGUUUAUUUCAGUUCAGUGUGGUAAUCUACAGCAAUCAAGUUAACAAAACUGAAGCAUUUUAGCAAGGCAACGGUGCAAUUGCUCUUUUGGUGGAAGAUGAAGCUUUUGUUGGGCUUGUGAUGUUUUUUCUGAAGAAGUCUGACGAUGAACUCGAAAGACAGAUGGCAUGCGGUAUUUGUGAUAUAGAACUAAAUGAUUCAGGACUGCACUAGCUCCAGAAAGGGUGGCAUUCUUCAUAUUUUGAUGCAACUUCAUGAUACUAGGUCGUUUCUAUUUGUUCUGAUGCAACUUCUAUAAUGGCAGGUUGCUACUACAGGGUUACCCGAUGUUGCCUCAUGUCAGUUAUAUCUUCCAAUAUUUACAGAACCUUCUGAAUCUGAUACCAGGACAUGCUGAUGAUAACCUUCCAGUUUUACUGAAUCAUAGUUACUUGAGUAAUCUCUACUCUUAAAGUGUUCUUCGAAGGUGCUCAUCACAUCUGUCGAUAUACAACACCGUAGUUAUUGAUGGACGAACUUGGCAUCUCAGCCAGUACUCUGCCUCAUCAAUAGUUUGAUGUCCCUUUGCAUGAAGUUAGGCCAACAUCAUAAGAUCCGUAGCCUUUUUGAGGAGAUGAAGGUGAAGAUUAUUAAGCCGGAUAACCUCACAUGUUGCAUUCUAAUGACCAGUCGUGCGGCAUUGAACAGGAUAGAUGUUGUUGGAGAAGUUUUAGAAGAAAUGCAAGAAAAGGAUGUAGUUCUAGGGUGGUCUGCAUACAGCAUGGUUUCUAUCCACCUGAGUGCUGGUUUGGUUUUAAAUAACAGUCCGCUUUAAAUAAACUCGAGGGCCUUGAUUUUAGAAGGUAACAUAAAUAUCUAGAUUGAGUUCAUGGUCAUGGGGCUGUUUGUUACAGUUCAGGCAAGAGUUUAGUUCAUAAUGCUCAAUUUCAUCAUGCUUGUAUCACCACCACCGUGUAAUAUAACAUAGUACUAUGCACAACGAUGCGUCAGCACUAAGCUCAGCAUCUAAAUAACUUGAAAUGCUGGAUCAGAGUUUUUUUAGUUCAUAAAAAAUGAUUUUAUUUCUCCUGAUGCAUUGUUAUUUAGGCUUCAUUAUUCUUCAAUUUCUGGCAAAGUAAUAAACAUGCCAUAUAUAAAUUGGUAAUGAACGGCUAAAUAUAUAUAUAUGUUUUGUUAUUUAGGCUUAUUAUUCUACAAUUUCUGUCAAAUUAAUGAACAUGCCAUACAUAAGUUGUUUUUGAACCCUAUAUAUAUAUAUGUCCCCUGUUGCAACGUACAACCUCUUUUCCUUUAUUUCUUUUUUUAAUAUUAAAGGCAGGUGAGUUUUUUUACAUUGUUUAUAAAUUUUUAAAACCAUGGGAAAGUAGUGCAUCAGGGAAGGUUCACCACUAGACACCCCUGAUUGCAACAAAAUAUCCUUUAUGUUUGAUUUUUCUGGUAAUUAUGUAUUUAACAGAUCUCUCCUUAAAAAAUAAUAACAACCAGUGUUGAACUAAUAAAGUUCUAAAUCUAUAUUGAGACACAAUUGGUGUUGAGGCAUUAAAUAUGUAUAGCCCGUUGCAACUCACGGGCUCCUCAGCCAUAUGUAUGCUUUGACCUACUUAUAUGUUGUUUUCUUGGGCCUUGGUGCUCUCUACAUCGCUUCUCAAACUGUGACAGUAACAGUGAGGCUACUCCCUAUCCUUCUCAUCUUUCAAACCUGUGGCACUGAUGGAUCACACCUUAACCUUGCAGGAGUUGUUAUGGACCAUCUGGUUUUCUUCAGGAAUCCACACCACCGACAAUUCUAAUGAGAAGAUCCAGCUGACAUCCUUCUUGCUACAACCACUCUGUUCUGUACUUCUAUUGCCUCAUACGGCCUUUGGCAGAUACCCGUGAGAUGAACUCCACUAAAAAUCCCUCAAGAAUUGUGAACCCAUUAAUUAGGGAUUUAACUUUAGAAAAAUCAACAGAGUCUACAGCUAGGAGAGAUAAUUUUAAAAAAUUCUUGUUACUUGCAAUUCCUGAUCUAGGUUAAGAAUGUACUGCUCACGAUGCAGAUUGUAUAUAUAUUAUUCGGAUGAUCAGAUGGGUCUUCUUCUACAUUUGGUUACUCAGAUUGUAAGUUAUUGUGUAAAUCUACUGUCAUCAUACUUUUACUUUC